rnacentral:rRNA from 1 species
GAUGAACGCUGGCGGCGUGCUUAACACAUGCAAGUCGAACGAGAAGUGGAGACGGAAACCUUCGGGCGGAAGACUUUACUUCGAGUGGCGGACGGGUGAGUAACGCGUGGGUAACCUGCCUCAUACAGGGGGAUAACAGUUGGAAACGACUGUUAAUACCGCAUAAGACCACAGCACCGCAUGGUGCGGGGGUAAAAACUCCGGUGGUAUGAGAUGGACCCGCGUUCGAUUAGCCAGUUGGCGGGGUAACGGCCCACCAAAGCGACGAUCGAUAGCCGAUCUGAGAGGAUGACCGGCCACAUUGGGACUGAGACACGGCCCAAACUCCUACGGGAAGCAGCAGUGGGGAAUAUUGCACAAUGGGGGAAACCCUGAUGCAGCGACGCCGCGUGAGUGAAGAAGUAUUUCGGUAUGUAAAGCUCUAUCAGCAGGGAAGAAAAUGACAGUACCUGAGUAAGAAGCCCCGGCUAACUACGUG